CUUGAGAGUGGAAGGAAAUGUCUGUUCACCAUGAACAGGAACUGGCCAUUGUCACUCUAGUGUUGGCAAACAACACCAUCCGCCUACAUCAACUACGAGAGCAAACCAUCGCAGACCACACAACAUCCGUAUUAUCAACCGUGUCAGUAUGUCGACACUCUGCCACAUCUUGCGUCAACACCAGCGUACGAUGAAGCAGCUGUCCAGGGUUCUAUUUGAGAGGAACAGUGUUGGAGUCAAAGACCUUCGCUGUGACUGUGUGCAAGUGAAAACCAUCACUCCCCAAUCAGUCAACAAUCAAUCAUCAAUCAGAAGACACACCUCCUCCUAUUUCCUACCCUAUCACAGUUCCUUCCCCAUGGUUUAAAAACCCCAUCAUUUGUUUGCUCUAGCAAUCUCUAGCUCAAUCUCUCUGUAAAUGCCAAGUCUGUAGGUCUCUGUGUUUCACUCUCGCUUUGUGUCUUAACCUCUCUUUUGUUUAAAGCACCUCCAUAGCACUUUGUCAUCACCUGUGAGUAUUGUUUUUGGGUUAUAGUGUUUGUUUGUUUGCUGGUGGGAAAAGGGGAAACCAAGACAAGUCGCCCAUGGGCAUACACUACCCGUAGGUGAACUUUGUUAAAUACACUAGUUAGAACUGGGCGGACCACCCACUGUAUUUUUGGUUAGUUAGUUAGUUAGCUGUUGUUAAAGUAGGCUAGUCUAGCUUAGGGGUGUUUUUGAAUACUUAUUGUUUCUUUCCUUGGGUCCAGCUCAGCCCCUUUUCCUGCUCCCCCCAUUACCGUGUGUUUAUAAAUAAACCUAGAGUUUGACGGUAGA